rnacentral:rRNA from 1 species
GACGAACGCUGGCGGCGUGCUUAACACAUGCAAGUCGAACGAUGAAGCCUAGCUUGCUAGGUGGAUUAGUGGCGAACGGGUGAGUAAUACGUGAGUAACCUACCUUUAACUCUGGGAUAAGCCUGGGAAACUGGGUCUAAUACCGGAUACGACCAAUCUCCGCAUGGGGUGUUGGUGGAAAGCGUUAUGUAGUGGUUAUAGAUGGGCUCGCGGCCUAUCAGCUUGUUGGUGAGGUAACGGCUCACCAAGGCGACGACGGGUAGCCGGCCUGAGAGGGUGACCGGCCACACUGGGACUGAGACACGGCCCAGACUCCUACGGGAGGCAGCAGUGGGGAAUAUUGCACAAUGGGCGCAAGCCUGAUGCAGCGACGCCGCGUGAGGGAUGACGGCCUUCGGGUUGUAAACCUCUGUUAGCAGGGAAGAAGAGAAAUUGACGGUACCUGCAGAGAAAGCGCCGGCUAACUACGUG